GAGAGAGACAGAGAGAGAGAGAGACAGAGAGAGAGAGAGAGAUUAUGAACUGAUUGAAAAGAUUACCAGCAGUUGGAAUCAGGAUACACAGGAGGAGCCAGAAACGUUAGCAAGCCCUUCAGAAUGCACCUUCUCCGCCACCAAGUAAAAGUGAUGAUUCCUCCCCUUGUAAUACUCGAUUGUCUGUGAUGCAACAUUUUGGCAAGACUCCAAAGCAGAUUUGCGAAGAAAUGCACCCUGAAAUCCAUGCCAAAACUCCACUCUAUAAUAUCGUGUUCAUGCUCUGAGGUCAUUAAGGAAAAAAAUCACAAAAAUAGGUGGAACCCCAGAAUUUCCUCUAAAAAUCAGAAGACUCACAGAGAAAACCCCCCAGAUGCUCUGGUAGAACAAUGGCCAAGCAAAAUUCUCCCGGAGGACAGGGUCUGCGGCAGUCCUUCUGGGUGACCAGGAACUUUCCAAAUGUAGAGGACCCUUUAGAAUGAAGCCUUGAGCAUGAGGGGCAGAUCUCCUCAUCCAACCACCACCUGACUCUGUGUGAACCGGGAACUGUUAGAAUGUCUGUGCUGUGAUGAAAGGUCAUCUGCCUACAAUGUUAUGAUACAGACCUCAAACCUACAAACAUGAAGAACUUCUGCUUCUAGGUUAACUGGUUACCCACUGUAUAAGACACAUCACACACAGUCCAGGAGGCGGAGUUUCUGAGAUACCUAGAAACAGCUUAGAGGCAAAGUGACAAAGCAGCAACAACAAAUAAAACCAAUCCUCUGAAACUGGC